UACAGAGGGUGCAAGCGUUAAUCGGCCUUACUGGUCGUCCAGCUCACUUCGGCGGUUUUCUAAGUCUGCUGUGAAAGCCCCGGGCUCAACCUGGGAAUUGCAGUGGAUACUGGCAAGCUAGAGUUUGGUAGAGGGAAGUGGAAUUCCAGGUGUAGCGGUGAAAUGCGUAGAUAUCUGGAGGAACAUCAGUGGCGAAGGCGACUUCCUGGCCCAAAACUGACGCUGAGGCACGAAAGCGUGGGGAGCAAACAGG
rnacentral:rRNA from 1 species